rnacentral:rRNA from 1 species
ACGAACGCUGGCGGCGUGCUUAACACCUGCAAGUCGAACGGAAAGGCCUCUUUCGGGGGGUACUCGAGUGGCGAACGGGUGAGUAACACGUGAGUAACCUGCCCUUGACUUUGGGAUAACUUCAGGAAACUGGGGCUAAUACCGGAUAGGAGCUCCUGCUGCAUGGUGGGGGUUGGAACGUUUCGGCGGUUGGGGAUGGACUCGUGGCUUAUCAGCUUGUUGGUGGGGUAGUGGCUUACCAAGGCUUUGACGGGUAGCCGGCCUGAGAGGGUGACCGGCCACAUUGGGACUGGGAUACGGCCCAGACUCCUACGGGGGGAAGCAGUGGGGAAUAUUGCACAAGGGGUGGAAGCCUGAUGCAGCAACGCCGUGUGCGGGAUGACGGCCUUCGGGUUGGAAACCGCUUUCGCUCAUGACGAAGCUUUGUGUGACGGUAGUGGGUAAAGAAGCACCGGCUAACUACGUG